CAGUCGCCACGGUAAAACAGAGGGUGCGAGCGUUAAUCGGAUUUACUGGGCGUAAAGCGUGCGUAGGCGGCUUCUUAAGUCGGAUGUGAAAUCCCUGAGCUUAACUUAGGAAUUGCAUUCGAUACUGGGAAGCUAGAGUAUGGGAGAGGAUGGUAGAAUUCCAGGUGUAGCGGUGAAAUGCGUAGAGAUCUGGAGGAAUACCGAUGGCGAAGGCAGCCAUCUGGCCUAAUACUGACGCUGAGGUACGAAAGCAUGGGGAGCAAACAGGAUUAGAUACCCGAGUAGUCCCUGUCUCUUAUAC
rnacentral:rRNA from 1 species